CCACUAUAAGACUGGGAUAACUUCGGGAAACCGGAGCUAAUACCGGAUAAUAUUUUGAACCGCAUGGUUCAAAAGUGAAAGACGGUCUUGCUGUCACUUAUAGAUGGAUCCGCGCCGCAUUAGCUAGUUGGUAAGGUAACGGCUUACCAAGGCAACGAUGCAUAGCCGACCUGAGAGGGUGAUCGGCCACACUGGAACUGAGACACGGUCCAG
rnacentral:rRNA from 1 species